rnacentral:rRNA from 1 species
CCUACGGGUGGCAGCAGUGAGGAAUAUUGGUCAAUGGGCGCGAGCCUGACCCAGCCAAGUCGCGUGAGGGAAGACGGUCCUAUGGAUUGUAAACCUCUUUUGUCGGGGAGCAAAAGACGCCACGUGUGGCGUUCCGAGAUUACCCGAAGAACAAGCAUCGGCUAGCUCCGUGCCAGCAGCGGCGGUAAUACGGAGGAUGCGAGGUUUAUCCGGAUUUGUUGGGGUAAAGGGGUGGGCAGGCGGAAGAUCAGGUCAGCGGUAAAAUUGAGAGGCUCAGCCUCUUCGAGCCGUUGAAACUGGUGGUCUUGAGUGAGCGAGAGGUAUGCGGAAUGCGUGGUGUAGCGGUGAAAUGCAUAGAUAUCACGCAGAACUCCGAUUGCGAAGGCAGCAUACCGGCGCUCAACUGACGCUCAGGCACGAAAGUGUGGGUAUCGAACAGGAUUAGAUACCCUGGUAGUC